rnacentral:rRNA from 1 species
GACGAACGCUGGCGGCGUGCUUAACACAUGCAAGUCGAACGGAAAGGCCCUGCUUUUGUGGGGUGCUCGAGUGGCGAACGGGUGAGUAACACGUGAGUAACCUGCCCUUGACUUUGGGAUAACUUCAGGAAACUGGGGCUAAUACCGGAUAGGAGCUCCUGCUGCAUGGUGGGGGUUGGAAAGUUUCGGCGGUUGGGGAUGGACUCGCGGCUUAUCAGCUUGUUGGUGGGGUAGUGGCUUACCAAGGCUUUGACGGGUAGCCGGCCUGAGAGGGUGACCGGCCACAUUGGGACUGAGAUACGGCCCGGACUCCUACGGGAGGCAGCAGUGGGGAAUAUUGCACAAUGGGCGGAGGCCUGAUGCAGCCCCGCCGCGUGCGGGAUGACGGCCUUCGGGUUGUAAACCGCUUUCGCCUGUGACGAAGCGUGAGUGACGGUAAUGGGUAAAGAAGCACCGGCUAACUACGUG